UACGGGGGGAGCAAGCGUUGUUCGGAUUUACUGGGCGUAAAGGGCGCGUAGGCGGCCUCCGCAAGUCAGUUGUGAAAUCUCCGAGCUUAACUCGGAAAGGUCAACUGAUACUGCGGGGCUAGAGUGCGGAAGGGGCAACUGGAAUUCUUGGUGUAGCGGUGAAAUGCGUAGAUAUCAAGAGGAACACCUGCGGCGAAGGCGGGUUGCUGGGCCGACACUGACGCUGAGGCGCGAAAGCUAGGGGAGCGAACAGG
rnacentral:rRNA from 1 species